ensembl:lncRNA
UCAGGGUUUCAGCAGCAGAGCUGCACUCUGUGGAACUGCAUGGCUGUCAGACUGAACUUAUUUCACCAACUCCUCUGACAACUGCAAGGCGGAUGGGCUUCAGUUUGCCUGACAUAAGCCACCUAAGAUGGUAGAAAGUGAGAAAACUCGGCGUGUAAAGGUAUUCCUUUGUCUCUCCUGCUGCAUUGGACAUGGAGGAAAGACUGAUAAUGAGGCGCUGUAGUUCAUGAAAGCUUGGGAGUGAAGAAAUACUGCACUGGUGUUCCUGUAUGAGGCAGCACAUGAGCAACUACUGAUAAUCCAUGAGAGCCUGGAUCUAUGCAAAUUAGCAGCUCAUCUUUGCAGCACAUGAAGGCCAGCACUGGUUGAUAGACACUUCAUUUGGAGACUGUUUCAUGUUCUGAAACAGUGAACUAUCCAAAUGACACCGCCUCAAAUUCUCAAUAUUCUGUCAACAGA